GGAGUAGUUCCUCACGGCGCAGUACAGGGACCCUGAAGGCAACACGCCGUCAACAUCUGCAGGACGUUCUGGACGGAGUCCGGUCCAGGUGACGAAGAGCGACUCACCUCCCAGGAAUCCUCCCUCCUCUUCCUCCUCUUCCUCACAGAGCUCCAGCUUCAUCAGUGGAGAGUUGCAGCUGCAGCCUGACCUGCCGGGUCUUUGAUUAGGACGUCCAGCUUGUCGUCGGCAGCCGCCUUGAAGGCCCGGUUCUUGGUGUCCCUGGUCUCGUACGGCGCCACGCAGCGGUACGUCUGCGUGACGAACGGGUGCGUCACGCUGCCCACUUCCUGGCUGCGCGCGCCACCCGCUGCGUCCUGCGCCUCGUCAGACGUCAGGAUCAUGACGCUGCAGCAGACCACGUGUUAGAAACGGAUCAAAGCGGCCCGCCGGAACCCGACCGGAACCAGAACUCACGUGUUCUUGGUGAAGUCCGUCUGCAGGUCGUGAUCUCUGGGCGUGAAGAACCGGGUGACCUCUGAACUCACGGUCACGGCCUGAUCGCAGCGCAGCAGCUCCUCGCAGUAAGUCUGCAGGAAGUUCAUCUGCCUGACAGACUUCCUGGAUCCGGUCUGCUGCAGGCCGCUGCGCCGGGCCUUCCCUGGACCGGAACCAGAACCAGAACAAAUGAAUAAAAUCAACCAAAGUUUCUCUGAAGGUGAAAA